AGUGAACGCUGGCGGUAGGCCUAACACAUGCAAGUCGAACGGCAGCACAGUAAGAGCUUGCUCUUACGGGUGGCGAGUGGCGGACGGGUGGGGAAUACAUCGGAAUCUACUUUUUCGUGGAGGAUAACGUAGGGAAACUUACGCUUAUACCGCAUACGACCUACGGGUGAAAGCAGGGGAUCUUCGGACCUUGCGCGACUGAAUGAGCCGAUGUCGGCUUAGCUAGUUGGCGGGGGAAAGGCCCACCCAGGCGACAAUCCGUAGCUGGUCUGAGAGGAUGAUCAGCCAGCCUGGACCUGAGACACGCUCCCGACUCGUGCGGGAGGCAGCAGUGGGGAAUAUUGUACGAUGGGCGCAAUGCUGCUCCAGCGAUACCGCGUGGGUGAGGUAGGCCUCCGGGUUGUAAAGCCCUUCUGUUGAGAAAGAAAAGCAGCAGCUUAAUCCCCAGGUGGUCUGACGGUACCCAGAGAAUAAGCACAGGCUAACUUCGUG
rnacentral:rRNA from 1 species